GAAAUCUGGCCCCUUCGGGGUCCGAGUUGUAAUUUGUAGAGAGUGCUUCGGGUGAGACCACGGUCUAAGUCUAUUGGAACAUUACGUCAUAGAGGGUGAGAACCCCGUAUGUGACCGUGGCUCGAGCCCAUGUGAAGCCUCUUCGACGAGUCGAGUUGUUUGGGAAUGCAGCUCAAAAUGGGUGGUAAAUUUCAUCUAAAGCUAAAUACUGGCUGGAGACCGAUAGCGCACAAGUAGAGUGAUCGAAAGAUGAAAAGCACUUUGGAAAGAGAGUCAAACAGUACGUGAAAUUGUUGAAAGGGAAGCGCUGGCAACCAGACCUGUCCGUAGACGAUCAGCCGCUGUUCUCAGUGGUGCACUCGUUCUGCGAUCAGGCCAGCAUCGGUUUCGGCGGUCGGAUAAAGGCCUGGGGAACGUAGCUCUCCUUCGGGGGAGUGUUAUAGCCCCGGGCGCAAUGCGGCCAGCCGGGACCGAGGACCGCGCUUCGGCUAGGAUGCUGGCGUAAUGGUUGUCAGCGACCCGUCUUGAAACACGG
rnacentral:rRNA from 1 species